GAUGAACGCUGGCGGCGUGCCUAAUACAUGCAAGUCGAGCGAACGGACGAGAAGCUUGCUUCUCUGAUGUUAGCGGCGGACGGGUGAGUAACACGUGGAUACCCUACCUAUAAGACUGGGAUAACUUCGGGAAACCGGAGCUAAUACCGGAUGAUCUUUUGAACCGCAUGGUUCAAAAGUGAAAGACGGUCUUGCUGUCACUUAUAGAUGGAUCCGCGCUGCAUUAGCUAGUUGGUAAGGUAACGGCUUACCAAGGCAACGAUGCAUAGCCGACCUGGUAGGGUGAUCGGCCGCACGGGAACUGAGACACGGUCCAGACGCCUACGGUAGGCAGCAGUAGGGAAUCUUCCGCAAUGGGCGAAAGCCUGACGGAGCAACGCCGCGUGAGUGAUGAAGGUCUUCGGAUCGUAAAACUCUGUUAUUAGGGAAGAACAUAUGUGUAAGUAACUGUGCACAUCUUGACGGUACCUAAUCAGAAAGCCACGGCUAACUACGUG
rnacentral:rRNA from 1 species